CGUUUUCAACCUUUUUUUCCUAAAUUAUAGAUGUUUCUGGAUCAUAGAAUGUUUGCAUUUUCAACUAGGCAAGGUAUUUCCAAAUUGCUCUCCUAAGUGGUUGUUCCAAUUUACACCUCAACAGAAGAGCUUCCUGGAGUUUCUGGCUGAGAAAUGAUACUGUCCACACAUAUUUUUUAUUCUUCCUUGCUAAUCACUAAAUACCUCUUUUUCUUUUAUCUUAAAUACACAAACUAGAACUUAUAGUAU